AACUCUCAACAACGGAUAUCUUGGCUCCCGUAUCGAUGAAGAACGCAGCGAAAUGCGAUACGUAGUGUGAAUUGCAGAAUUCCGUGAACCAUCGAAUCUUUGAACGCAAAUUGCGCCUGAGGCUUCGGCCGAGGGCAUGUCUGCCUCAGCGUCGGCUU
rnacentral:rRNA from 1 species